rnacentral:rRNA from 1 species
GGAAAAGUCUGGUUUAAGUUCCUUGGAACAGGACGUCAUAGAGGGUGAGAACCCCGUCAGUAACCAAUCACCAACCCAUGUGAAACCCCUUCGACGAGUCGAGUUGUUUGGGAAUGCAGCUCCAAAUGGGUGGUAAAUUUCAUCUAAAGCUAAAUAUUGGCCGGAGACCGAUAGCGCACAAGUAGAGUGAUCGAAAGAUGAAAAGCACUUUGGAAAGAGAGUUAAAUAGUACGUGAAAUUGUUGAAAGGGAAGCGCUUGUGGCCAGACCUUGCAUAGGUGAUCAGUUGGUAUUUUUUUUCUUACCAAUUUUUCUCUCCUAAAGCCAGGCCAGCAUCGGUUUCGGCGGCGGGACAAAAGCGUGGACCCCGUAACUCUCUCUCGGGUGAGUACUUAUAGCUCGUCAUGAAAUGCCGCCAGCCGAGACCGAGGACCGCGCUUCGGCUAGGAUGCUGGCGUAAUGGUUGCAAGCGACCCGUCUUGAUACACGGACCAAGGAGUCUAACAUCUAUGCGAGUGUUUGGGUGUAAAACCCAGGCGCGGAAUGAAAGUAAACGUAGGUGGGAACCCUUAAAGGGGGGGCACCAUCGACCGAUCCUGAUGUCUUCGGAUGGAUUUGAGUAUGAGCAUAGCUGUUGGGACCCGAAAGAUGGUGAACUAUGCCUGAACAGGGUGAAGCCAGAGGAAACUCUGGUGGAAGCUCGCAGCGGUUCUGACGUGCAAAUCGAUCGUCAAAUUUGGGCAUAGGGGCGAAAGACUAAUCGAACCAUCUAGUAGCUGGUUCCUGCCGAAGUUUCCCUCAGGAUAGCAGUAACGAUUCUCAGUUUUAUGAGGUAAAGCGAAUGAUAAGAGGCCUUGGGGCUGCAACAGCCUUAA